GACGAACGCUGGCGGCGUGCUUAACACAUGCAAGUCGAGCGGUAAGGCCUCUUCGGGGGUACACGAGCGGCGAACGGGUGAGUAACACGUGAGUAAUCUGCCCUUCACUUCGGGAUAAGCUUCGGAAACGGGGUCUAAUACCGGAUACGACACUUUCAGGCAUCUGAUGAGUGUGGAAAGUUUUUUCGGUGGGGGAUGUGCUCGCGGCCUAUCAGCUUGUUGGUGGGGUAAUGGCCUACCAAGGCUUCGACGGGUAGCCGGCCUGAGAGGGUGACCGGCCACACUGGGACUGAGACACGGCCCAGACUCCUACGGGAGGCAGCAGUGGGGAAUAUUGGACAAUGGGCGGAAGCCUGAUCCAGCAACGCCGCGUGAGGGAUGACGGCCUUCGGGUUGUAAACCUCUUUCAGUACCGACGAAGCGAGAGUGACGGUAGGUACAGAAGAAGCACCGGCCAACUACGUGCCAGCAGCCGCCGUAACAC
rnacentral:rRNA from 1 species